rnacentral:rRNA from 1 species
CUACAGGCUUAACACAUGCAAGUCGAGGGGUAGCAGGGUAGCAAUACCGCUGACGACCGGCGCACGGGUGAGUAACACGUAUCCAACCUUCCCAUAACUCGGGGAUAGCCUUUCGAAAGAAAGAUUAAUACCCGAUAGUACUUAUAUAGGGCAUCCUACAUAAGUUAAAGAUUUAUUGGUUAUGGAUGGGGAUGCGUUCCAUUAGAUAGUUGGUGAGGUAACGGCUCACCAAGUCUUCGAUGGAUAGGGGUUCUGAGAGGAAGGUCCCCCACAUUGGUACUGAGACACGGACCAAACUCCUACGGGAGGCAGCAGUGAGGAAUAUUGGUCAAUGGGCGAGAGCCUGAACCAGCCAAGUAGCGUGAAGGAUGACGG